rnacentral:rRNA from 1 species
GACGAACGCUGGCGGCGUGCUUAACACAUGCAAGUCGAACGGAAAGGCCCUGCUUUUGUGGGGUGCUCGAGUGGCGAACGGGUGAGUAACACGUGAGUAACCUGCCCUUGACUUUGGGAUAACUUCAGGAAACUGGGGCUAAUACCGGAUAGGAGCUCCUGCUGCAUGGUGGGGGUUGGAAAGUUUCGGCGGGUGGGGAUGGACUCGCGGCUUAUGAGCUUGUUGGUGGGGUAGUGGUUUACCAAGGCUUUGACGGGUAGGCGGCCUGAGAGGGUGACCGGCCACAUGGGGACUGAGAUACGGCCCAGUCGGCAACGUGAGGCAGCGGUGGGGAGUAUGGCACAGUGGGCGGAAGCCUGAUGCAGAGACGCCGCGUGCGGGAUGACGGCCUUCGGGUUGUAAACCGCUUUCGCCUGUGACGAAGCGUGAGUGACGGUAAUGGGUAAAGAAGCACCGGCUAACUACGUG